GGAGGGGUUCCCGAGUGGCUAAAGGGAGCAGACUGUAAAUCUGCCAGCUCAGCUUUCGUAGGUUCGAAUCCUACCCCCUCCA
rnacentral:tRNA from 1 species